ACGAGAUUAAGUCUACCAAGCGAAUGCUGAACAUUUUCGUAAAAGUGUUUCAACAGUUUUCUUAUCUUGAAAAUAAAAGAUAACAGUAGCGGUGAUUGCUACACUAGAGCAGGUUCUACAAACGCUAUUUAUUUGAGCAGAUGUUCUUUGGUAUUGUUUGGUGAAAAUAUCUUUUAAUCUGUUAUUAGAAAUUACACAUUGCUUCAUAAAGGUUUUGCAAACACAGUUACAAUGGACACCACAGAAGUACUUCUUGUCAUCUGCAUUAGUUUGACAACAGUAAAUCUUGUCGUAGUAAGUUUACUUUGCUGUAUAGUACAAAGAUAUAUUCGUCAAGCAACACGUGACUGCAAAUUCAAGCCGAGCUAUAAUUUAGAAACUUCAUAUACGAAAUGUAAGGUAGCAUUAGAUAAUCAUGCAUUUGCUGGGGAGAAAACGAUAGAAGUUAGAAUGGGAACGGUACAAGAUCAAGAAAUGGAGCAUACGAACGAUGAACGGUUGAAAACAUAAAGGAAAAAAUAGACUUAACUGUAAAGCGCCAUUUACUAAUGGCGAAAUUGCCAACGACUGAACAUAGGGACUGUAUAUUUUCCAGCACCAUGCCAAAACUCCCAGUGAUCGAGAGAUCAUUUGCGACCAUGUAUAAUUAAUGUACGUAAAUGAAAAACAUAUGAAUAAUAAAAUUUGAAACAAUAGUA